UGAAACAUUGUUAUGCAGUGCAUGACUGCACUGAAAGGAAAAAAUAAACCUGUCAGCCACAGAAUUCUUUAUUCAGUCAAAGUAUCUUUCAAAAUCAAAAGCGAAAUAAAGAUAUUGUCAGACACAAAAUCUGAAAGAAUUUAUCACCAUCAGACCUACAUUACAAGAAACUAGUCCAGAUGGAAAUCGGGAUCUAUAUAAAGGGAUGAAGAGCACCAACAAUGGAAAGUAUGUGAAUAAAUGUUAAGACUUUUUGUAAAGUAAAUAUGAUUGACUUCUAGUUAUGGCCAAGUGAGGAGAGUGACGAAUCCUCUCUGAGAGAAGCAACCUAAGCUGGAGAAAAUUGACAAAAACAACGAUUUUGGUUUCUGGAAAUUGGCCAAAGGCAUAUAACAAUCUGAGAAGUGUUCUUUCUUGAAAAAGCUGAAUUUCAGGAAAAGAAUCUCUUCAUUUUAAGUGUGACCUGAAGAUAGAGUGAGCUUCCUGCUGCACGGAGGUUUUCUUCUGGCUUUUCCCAAGCUCAGUGUCAGCCAGUCUGAUGUAACUACUACAGCAGGCUAAAGAAGUGGGUGCAAUAUCAUAAAACCAAACACUGUUGGUAAAUAUUUUGAUUUUUGAAAAGCUGAAAAACAUUUGUUAUUUUGGAAGUUGAAGGGCCAAGUCCAGGAAGGAAAUUCUUGAAAAGGAACCUGGCCCUGGCAUUGACAAUCUCUUUAGUGGGCAGAUAUUUUUAUCUUUGAAUAUGGAACAAGAAGAUCUUUUUCUCCAAACGUUGGAAUUAAAUCACAUCUUUACCAGCCUGCCAGCAACUUAUAAUAGAAAAGAAAAAAAUUACUUGAGCUCUAACCAUGGAGAACUUAAAACCAUAACAAUAAAACAGUCUAAAAUGACCCAAACA